rfam:Strongylocentrotus purpuratus Contig11252_fixed, whole genome shotgun sequence.
CAAACGGCUCUUAUCAGAGCCACCCAAACUUCAAGAAAGAAACAU